GAUACCCCUGUAGUCCUGGCCGUAAACGAUGAACACUAGGUGUCGGGGGAAUCGACCCCCUCGGUGUCGUAGCCAACGCGUUAAGUGUUCCGCCUGGGGAGUACGCACGCAAGUGUGAAACUCAAAGGAAUUGACGGGGGCCCGCACAAGCGGUGGAGUAUGUGGUUUAAUUCGAUGCAACGCGAAGAACCUUACCAGGGUUUGACAUCCUGCGAAUCCCUUGGAAACUUGGGAGUGCCUUCGGGAGCGCAGUGACAGGUGGUGCAUGGCUGUCGUCAGCUCGUGUCGUGAGAUGUUGGGUUAAGUCCCGCAACGAGCGCAACCCACGUCUUUAGUUGCCAGCAUUGAGUUGGGCACUCUAGAGAGACUGCCGGUGAUAAACCGGAGGAAGGUGUGGAUGACGUCAAGUCAUCAUGCCCCUUACAUCCUGGGCUACACACGUACUACAAUGCUACGGACAAAGGGCAGCAAACUCGCGAGAGCUAGCAAAUCCCAUAAACCGUGGCUCAGUUCAGAUCGUAGGCUGCAACUCGCCUACGUGAAGGAGGAAUCGCUAGUAAUCGCAGGUCAGCAUACUGCGGUGAAUACGUUCCCGGGCCUUGUACACACCGCCCGUCACACCAUGGAAGUUGGCCAUGCCCGAAGUCGUUACUCCAACCCUUGUGGAGGAGGAUGCCGAAGGUGGGGCUGAUGACUGGGGUGAAGUCGUAACAAGGUAGCCGUACCGGAAGGUGC
rnacentral:rRNA from 1 species